rnacentral:rRNA from 1 species
CAGUAGCCGCGGGAAUACAGAGGGUGCGAGCGUUAAUCGGAUUUACUGGGCGUAAAGCGUGCGUAGGCGGCUUCUUAAGUCGGAUGUGAAAUCCCUGAGCUUAACUUAGGAAUUGCAUUCGAUACUGGGAAGCUAUAGUAUGGGAGAGGAUGGUAGAAUUCCAGGUGUAGCGGUGAAAUGCGUAGAGAUCUGGAGGAAUACCGAUGGCGAAGGCAGCCAUCUGGCCUAAUACUGACGCUGAGGUACGAAAGCAUGGGGAGCAAACAGGAUUAGAUACCCGAGUAGUCCCUGUCUCUUAUAA